AUUUACAUGGUAGAAAAGGGAGGAAAUAUUUCUUUCUUACACACUAAAAAGAGAGUAAAAGUGGUGUCAAAAAUUAGUGGAGGCAUGGGUUUAUUUAGGCGCACAAAAUUAGUUCAACGUGGAGUCCUUUUGGCGCAUGGAAUCAAGGUAUUUCAAGAACAUGGGAGUCUUGUUUAAAUUACUAUUUUAAAUCCAAUUAAAAUAUCAAUUAAUCUUAAUAAUAUUAGGACC
rnacentral:lncRNA from 1 species